CCUGUUCCAUUUGGUCUGCACAAAACGAUUGAUUCUCUCUCCAUUACCACUUCCGUUCUCCCCUGCUUCCACCUUCUCCCCUUUCACUGAGAUUAUAAUAACCUGAUACUGAAAUUGCAGACCCAUUUUGAAGUGACGAAAUCCAGAAGACGGAAACGAUACAAAGAACAUAGAUGCCUGCCACGCAUCCGGCGAUUACCUGAGAUGGAGAUGGUAGUGACGAACUGCCGCUGCUCUCCCCUGUCUCUCUCUCUCUCUCUCUCUCUCUCUCUCUCUCUCUCUAUGUCUGUCUCUAUGUCUGUCUCUACGUCUUUCUAUAUUCCGAUGAAGAAACGCUAAAAACACCGGACGAUGGCACAGGCACGCACAGGCGCAUAUCCCCAUUUCCUCCAUACGAUAAUCAUCUCUAUCUCAUCACUAUCGGCGCCCGUCAAUAUUCCGUUGCAGUUGUUGAGGCCAAUUGAUUGCUCGAAAACCAAAGAAUAGUGUUAAUUUUGCCAUAUUCGACUUACAUCGGAGUUUUCGAUGGUGACAAUGGGUCGAACCAUCUACAUUCAUCACCAGUCAACUCUACCAUUACCUGCAGAGUAAGCAGUAUUUGAAAACCCUAAAUUUCUUCCACUUUUCGUUGACGUAGUGAAUUUGUUUUUUUAGCGGUUAUUUCUUUUUAGCUAGAACUUAAUCGUUCAGAAUCUGAUAUGAUUGCUUAAUCUGAUGUAGAUAAUCCGUCACUCUACUUGCGAUGUCAUAGGUUCGCAUCCUUCCCUUUCCACUGCGUCUGUUUGUUGCGUGGUCUAUUAACGACUGUUACUUGAUACUAUCAUCAUCAUCAUCACUAUAAUAUGCUUCCUCAGUUCUAAAACAUUACAUAAUCAGGAUAAAUACUUAGAUAUGGAGAAAAUGGUUUGUUGUCUCUAACCAGAACUACUAUUCACUGCACAUG
rnacentral:lncRNA from 1 species